rnacentral:rRNA from 1 species
AACGAACGCUGGCGGCGUACAUAACACAUGCAAGUCGAACGAGAAAUUCCGAUUCGUCGGGAGAGUAAAGUGGCGAACGGGUGAGUAACACAAGGGUAAUCUGCCAUUAAAUUAGGGAUAACCUUGCGAAAGCGAAGCUAAUACCUGAUAAGACUACGACCUCUUAGGGGGAUGUAGGAAAAGAUGGCCUCUGUUUCAAGCUAUUGUUUAAUGAUGAGCCCUUGCACUAUUAGCUUGUUGGUGGGGUAACGGCCUACCAAGGCUACGAUGGUUAGCUGGUCUGAGAGGAUGACCAGCCACACUGGAACUGAGACACGGUCCAGACUCCUACGGGAGGCAGCAGUGAGGAAUAUUGCGCAAUGGGGGAAACCCUGACGCAGUGACGCCGCGUGAGUGAUGAAGGCUUUCGAGUCGUAAAGCUCUGUUAGGUGGAAAGAAACAUUCCAACGCUAAUAUCGUUGGAACUUGACGGUACCACCAGAGGAAGCACCGGCUAACUCCGUGCCAGCAGCCGCGGUAAUACGGAGGGUGCAAGCGUUGUUCGG